ACUUGAGUAGUUUAUAUAAAAUACUGAUUUGUGGUGUCGGUGAAAUAAUUUUUUAUUAUCUUAGGUC
rnacentral:tRNA from 1 species